rnacentral:lncRNA from 1 species
CCCUACAAUACCAACAGAGAACCUGCAUGAUUGUUCACAGUUGUCUGGGGAUACCUCCUGAGAAUGUGAAAUGCAAAGCAGGGAAAGAGCUCAAAGUAGAAGGUCUAAAAUAAGAAGAAUUGAGUGUACUUUUCCUGAGUAGUCCCUCAGCGGUGGUGUACAGAUGUCUACUCAUACCUACCUACCAUCCAAGUCUCCAUUGCCUUUUGGAUGACCCCCUCCAUCAACCUUGCAACUUUAAUUUUUUAGAGACUAAUAGUCCAUGAUUCAUGGUUGUUUCUUGGAAGAAUAUUGUUAAAAAGAAAGGGCUUUGUUUCAGGGAGAAGCUUGGGUGAUGGUGGUGGGAUAUCAAAGGCACUACACAAUUCUUGAAAGCAAUUCAUUCUCUUUCUUCUGUUCAGUUCUGGACCCAAUUUAUUGUCCAUGUACAGUAUCAGUCGCAGAAUCCAGGAAACAGAGACAAAAAGGAUUAAGCAGCUUGCGCAGAGUCUCACAGCUGGUAAGUGUCUGGAGACCAGAUUUGAACUCAGGAAGAUGAAUCUUCCUGACAACAGACUACGCCAUCUAUUCACUGUGCCAUCUAUUUGCCCCUUAUUGACAUUGGGGUUUUCCAAAAGUCUUAGUGUAUUUAUAAGCUUAAGAUUUAUUUUAUUCAUUAAUGAGUUCCUGUGCAACCACAUUAGUCUCUUUACACAUCUUUCCCAGUUUUCUUAUGGGAAAUUUUUCAUUUGUGCCCCCACUUGUUACUCUUAAGGGUUUCCCAUCUCUCCUAAGUUAAGUUGACCAUAGACUGAAAAAUGCAAGGGACUUUAGCUCAAGAUAAUUUAAAACUGCACUUAGGCUCUUGGGACACCUUUAUGUCAUUAAUAUUUAUUAUACUAUGAUGAUAUCUAAAAUACAUCUCACAAAGAAUGGAAUAACGCAUUUGUCAGGAGACCCACUGAUAUGGUCAAAAGGAUGUUCACUUUGAUAUUGAAGGGAGAUAGAGAAAACAUAAUUUAGGAAAAACUGUAACCUCAAAUACUAUGGAAGACAGUAAGUAUGAAACAAAGAAGCAUCAUAUUGGAGGAAGUGCUCAGUAAUUUUCAGGUAACUAAACACCAAAGCACAGAUUGUGAGAAACAAACUAAGUGAGUCUUACAUUUAAAAAUAAGAAUAGAAACAUUAUUGUUGUUAUUCAGUCAUAUCCAAUACUUAGUGACUCCAUUUGGGGUUUUCUUGGCAAAGAUAUCAGAGUGAUUUGUCAUGCCCUUCUGCAGCUCAUUUUACAGAGGAGGAAAUUAAUGCAAACAAAGUUAAGUAAUUGGCCCAAGGUCACAUAGCUACUAAGUGUCUGAGAUCAGAUUUGAACACAGGUCUUCCUGUCUCCUGGUCCAGUGCUCUCUCCACUACUUCACCUAAAUGCCUAAGUAUUUUCUCACAGUUAAUUAGGAAUUUUUGAGAAUUGGUUGGAAAGGGAUUACCCAGUAGAGGGUAAUUUGUUCAAAAACAAUCAAUCUAAUUGAAAUGACAGAAAAUAUCACCAUAUGAUUUUUCAAAAGGUAUAUUUGUGAAAUGAGCUGGAGGAGGAAACGGCAAACCACUCCAAUAUCUUUGCCAGGAAAACUCCAAAUAGGGUCAUGAAAAGUCAACAAGACUGAAAUGACAGAACAAUAGUAUCAUUAAAUGGAAAUCCCUGAACUCAAAGGUAGAAGCACAAUGAAGUAGACUUGGGUAGUGUGAAAUCAGUAUGGAAAAUGUAUCUCAGAUGAGCUAGGUAGUCAGAUAAUACAAACAAUAUUUUUCCAAAAUAUGAAUUAUAAAAAUAAACAGAAGUAAAAUAUAUAUGAAAGAGGUGAU